UACGGGGGGGGCAAGCGUUGCUCGGAAUUACUGGGCGUAAAGGGCUCGUAGGCGGCCAACUAAGUCAGACGUGAAAUCCCCAGGCUCAACCUGGGAACUGCGUCUGAUACUGGAUGGCUUGAAUCCGGGAGAGGGAUGCAGAAUUCCAGGUGUAGCGGUGAAAUGCGUAGAUAUCUGGAGGAAUACCGGUGGCGAAGGCGGCAUCCUGGACCGGCAUUGACGCUGAGGAGCGAAAGCUAGGGGAGCAAACGGG
rnacentral:rRNA from 1 species